rfam:Xenopus laevis strain J chromosome 6L, whole genome shotgun sequence.
UGCAGCCUUGUCAAAUUCAGUUGGGUCGCUUUCGUGAUCCCCACUGGCCCUAAUGGCUGCUACAGGAGUUUGCCGUUCAUGUCUCCCACUUCUCUUACUGUGAGAUAUGUAGGUGCCAUGGGCUGCUGACAUUU